rnacentral:tRNA from 1 species
GGCGACGUACCCAAGUGGCUAAGGGAGAGGUCUGCAAAACCUUUAUGCCCCGGUUCGAAUCCGGGCGUCGCCUCCA